rnacentral:rRNA from 1 species
UACGUAGGCGGAAGAUUAAGUCAGUGGUGAAAUCCUGCAGCUUAACUGUAGAACUGUCAUUGAUACUGGUUUUCUUGAAUUUAGUUGAGGUAGGCGGAAUGUGUAAUGUAGCGGUGAAAUGCUUAGAUAUUACACAGAACACCGAUUGCGAGGGCAGCUUACUAAACUAUGAUUGACGCUGAGGUACGAAAGCGUGGGGAGCGAACAGGAUUAGAUACCCUGGUAGUCC